rnacentral:rRNA from 1 species
AUACGGAGGAUGCGAGCGUUAUCCGGAUUUAUUGGGUUUAAAGGGUGCGUAGGCUGUGCGUUAAGUCAGGGGUGAAAUGCCGUCGCUCAACGACGGAGCUGCCCUUGAUACUGGCGUGCUGGAGUACGGAUGCCGUUGGAGGAAUGAGUGGUGUAGCGGUGAAAUGCUUAGAUAUCACUCAGAACACCGAUUGCGAAGGCAUCUGACGAAUCCGUCACUGACGCUGAGGCACGAAAGCGUGGGGAUAGAACAGGAUUAGAUACCCUGGUAUUCCACGCCGUAAACGAUGAUGACUAACCGUCGGCGAUAGACAGCCGGUGGCCAAGCGAAAGCGAUAAGUCAUCCACCUGGGGAGUACGUCGGCAACGAUGAAACUCAAAGGAAUGGACGGGG